rnacentral:rRNA from 1 species
UACGGAGGGUGCGUAGCGUUGUCCGGAAUCACUGGGCGUAAAGGGCGCGUAGGUGGCUCAUUAAGUGGUCGGUGCAAUCCCGGGGCUCAACUCCGGGGCUGCCGGUCAGACUGGUGGGCUAGAGCACGGUAGGGGCAGAUGGAAUUCCCGGUGUAGCGGUGGAAUGCGUAGAUAUCGGGAAGAACACCAGUGGCGAAGGCGUUCUGCUGGGCCGUUGCUGACACUGAGGCGCGACAGCGUGGGGAGCAAACAGG